GAUGAAGAACGUAGUGAAAUGCGAUAAGUAAUGUGAAUUGCAGAAUUCAGUGAAUCAUCGAAUCUUUGAACGCACCUUGCGCCCUUUGGCCAUUCCGAAGGGCAUGCCUGUUUGAGUAUCAUGAACACCUCAACUCUUCAUGGUUUUCCGUGAUGAGCUUGGACUUUGGGGGUCUUGCUGGCCUAUGGUCAGCUCCUCUAAAAUAAAUCAGCUUGCCAGUGUUUGGUGGGUAUCACAGGUGUGAUAACUAUCUACGCUUGUGGUUUUCCACCAGGUAACCUUCAGCAGUGGAGGUUCGCUGGAGCUCACAGAUGUGUCUCUCCUCAGUGAGGACAGCUCUUUGAAUGUUUGAUCUCAAAUCAGGUAGGACUACCCGCUGAACUUAAGCAUAUAAUAAGCGGAGGA
rnacentral:misc_RNA from 1 species